GGAGAGGUGGCAGAGCGGUUGAAUGCGGCGGAUUGCUAAUCCGUUAUACGGGUUUAGGCCCGUAUCGAGGGUUCGAAUCCCUCCCUCUCCG
rnacentral:tRNA from 1 species